rnacentral:tRNA from 1 species
GAGGGUAUAGCUCAGUGGCAGAGUGCAGUCUUACCAUGCACAAGGUCCUGGGUUCAAUCCCCAGUACCUCUG